CACACACACGUAUACUCUUAAAGACUCGCCUCUAAUUGUCUCCCCCAUCCCCCCCAUGCUCAGACAGUGACAUCACCUUCAGCCAGGAAGUAGCAUUGUUCGCUCAACCAAUCUGUUGUCUUGCAUGCAUUAUCAUGACGGAUUUAGUGAGUGGGCAAAGAUACUGUGAUACAUAAUUCCUCCUAAACAAUAGUGUGCAUGGCAAAUGCAGAUACUUCCUGGAUCAAAUUUAAUUUAAAUAAAG